GUUUAGAGAUAGAGGGGUGCUCGAAAGAGAACCGUAACACAGGUGCUGCAUGGCUGUCGUCAGCUCGUGUCGUGAGAUGUUGGGUUAAGUCCCGCAACGAGCGCAACCCUUGCCAUUAGUUGCUACGAAAGGGCACUCUAAUGGGACUGCCGGUGACAAACCGGAGGAAGGUGGGGAUGACGUCAAGUCCUCAUGGCCCUUAUAGGUGGGGCUACACACGUCAUACAAUGGCCGGUACAAAGGGCAGCCAACCCGCGAGGGGGAGCCAAUCCCAUAAAGCCGGUCGUAGUCCGGAUCGCAGUCUGCAACUCGACUGCGUGAAGUCGGAAUCGCUAGUAAUCGUGGAUCAGCAUGUCACGGUGAAUACGUUCCCGGGUCUUGUACACACCGCCCGUCACACCAUGGGAGCGGGUUCUGCCAGAAGUAGGUAGCCUAACCGUAAGGAGGGCGCUUACCACGGCAGGGUUCGUGACUGGGGUGAAGUCGUAACAAGGUAGCCGUAUCGGAAGGUGCGGCUGGAUCACCUCCUUUAUGAG
rnacentral:rRNA from 1 species